CCGAUGAGCGAGUUCAAGCAAGAUAAAAUCCUUCUCGUCCCGAACGAGUUCAGGUACGGUGUAAAGGGUGGAAGAAGUUUGGGGGGUGGCUAAGGUAGGUUCGAAGAGAACGCCUAGCCACCCGGUCUCUUGUUCUGAGGCUCAAGGAGGUAGAGAAGGAUCCGAAAGGCGCCUCUACCCCCAGAUAAAGGAACAAUGGCCAAGUUGUGAAGGCAGGAAGAAGCUGAUAUCGCCAAGAGUCUUUGGCGACCAGGAAGAAUUCAAGCAAUGGCGAGAAAGUCAAGACCCGUUUCGAUAAGGCAGAUCAGAUG
rnacentral:lncRNA from 1 species